CAUUAUUAAACCUAGCACCUCUGUAUAUCCUCGGUGAUAAGGACCGAGAGUUUCUACCGGGAAUCCGUAAAAUUCCUGACUAUAGAGGCAGAAUAAGUGGAG
rnacentral:ncRNA from 2 species